GGCUUCCAAGGUUCCUGUCUUCAGUGCAGGUUGCAGGCGGGAACCGGCCUCGUCCCAGCCCUGGGCCUGGGUGAGAGAAGGAGGCCGAAGAAAACCAACUUCGGCAACCUCCGGAGACAGGACGUUUAAAAAAGGCUAAUUUGGCUGGGCGCUGAGGCUCACGCCUGUAAUCCCAGCACUUUGGGAGGCCGAGGCAGGAGGAUCACUUGAGCUCAGGAACCAGCCUGGGCAACAUGGCGAGACCCCAUGUCUACAAAAAAAAAAAAAAAAAAAAAAAUUAGCCAGUCAUGGUGGCGCGCGCCUGCAGUCCCAGCUACCCCGGAGGCCGACGCGGGAGGAUCGCUGGAGCCGAAAGGUCGAGGCUGCCGUGAGCGGAGGUUGUACCACUGCACUCCAGCCUGGGCGACAGCGCAAGACCCUAAAAAUAAAUUUUAAAAAAAUUGUGAGGCCUUCAUUCUGUGCUAGUACUGUACUAGGUGCUAAUUACUAAGUAAAACCGACUGAACUCUUGCCCUCACGGAGCUUACCGUUUAGUGGAGAAGACAUUACCUAAACAGUGUGACUAAAUAUAUAAUGACAUAUUGUAAUAACUUACAGUAAAAUGAGAGGUUGGGGAGGGAUUAUUUAUGCUUUAUGAAGUCGGGAAUUCUGGAACGGAAUGGCAUUAGACUGAGACACGGAAGAGCCGCAGGAUCUAUCGCUGGGGAAGAGCAUUCCAGACAGGGAGGAACUCAUGCCGAAUGAUCCCGCUGUGGACAGUUUGGGUCAAGAGUUCAGCUCGUUUUCAGUUUGAGGAUUAAGUUUGCGAAAGCGGAUGGCUUUCAGCUACUAGAAGAGAGAAGGUGCUAUUCUACCUUUCGAUGAUGGAAAGACUCGACAGCUCAAUCUCCAAAAUUAUUUAAAUGGAUUCAUUUGGCUACCAUCUGGAGUUAACCAGCCACAAUAACCCAGUACAUAGCCGCACAAGAGCCACAGAAAUAACUGCUAGCUGAACAGCUCACUGCCUCCUGCUUCUACAUUUCUAGGAUGAUCAGAACUCAGGUUGAGAGCAGAAUUGUAAUAGGCAAAAGAAAGAGAAGAGCUAUUUGCUGCAGAGAAGGGUUGUGGAGAAAUGGGUUGCCCUCUUUUUUCUUUUUCUUUUUCUUUUUUUGAGACAACCUUUCACUGUCACCCAGACUGGAGUUCAGUGGCACAUUCGUACCUCGCUGCAGCCUCAACCUCCCAGGCUCAAUCCAUCCUCCCACCUCGCAUCCUAAGUAGCUGGGAGUAUAGGAUCCUGUGCCUGGAAUGUCUAAUCUCUGUACUACAGAAAGCCUAGAGGUCACAUAGGUGAGGGAGGCCACAGGCUUCAAAGUCAUUCUUCCCCUCCGAAUCUUAAUGUUAAUAAUGGAGUGACAGAAGGAAAGUUACUAACGAGUCCUUGCAUGUGAGAUGAAUUUCUGGACCUGUCUGCCUGAUCAAGAAUUAAUGGAUUGCAUUUAACAGAAGGUCCUUUCGCUCCCCUCCACUUCCAGCUGGCAGAGCCUUUAUUAUUGUCAUCAUCCGUGGACCAGUGCAAGUGAGAUGAAUGUGCAAGGCUGUAAUGAGGGUGAACUCCUGGGUUAGCACACGCUUAACUGAAGCAAGGUCAUGGGCUUGCUCUGUAAAGUCAAGGCCACUUUUCCUGUAUGGCAGUAAACCAUCUCUAGACAUGGGCGACCUGUGGGUGUAUGGAAGGUAAUUGCUCAUAUAUUAAUAUUUAAAAUAUAGAAAUAGUCGCACUCAUGAUUUUUAUCAUAAAUUGAUAAUUUGCUUACCUUUGAUAUAUUUCAUCAGAAGAAACACUAUUCUUACCAUUAAUUGUAACAAAAUAUGUACAGGAUGAAAAGAUAAUUUUUAUAUUUUUAGUAGAGACAGGGUUUCACCAUGUUGGCCAGACUGGUCUCAAACUCCUGACCUCAGACGAUCUGCCUGCCUUGGCCUCCCAAAGUGCUGGGAUUACAGGUGUGAGCCACUGCGCCUGGCCAAUUAUCUCCAUUUUUCACAGGAGAGAACAGAACUGGGGCAAUGCACCAGAUGCACACAACCAGCAAAUGUAGAGCUGGAAUCCGAAGUCAAUGCAUGUGAACGUCCCAGCUCAGAGAGAGGCGGUGAGCAGGAGAGGACUGGGUGAAAAUGGCUCACACACACACCUUUGUCUUCAUCAUUUAGUUCUCCAGGGUGUCAUAUGGACUAUGCCACUUGACCUCCACAGCGAUUCUGUGGCGUUUGUGCACCAGGAACUUUAUCCCUAUUUUGCCAGCGAGGAAACUUAGGUUUGGAAUGGGUAAAUCACCGCACAAAGCCUUGCUGAAAAGAGCACCAGGCCUCAAACUUUUGCUGGCAUUGUCCUUCACAGUUUACUUUAGGGCCUGUCAUUUACUGGGGUGAAACACAAAAGUUCCUUGUCCCCGAAAGACUGCAAUUAAAGUGCCAUUAGCACAGUAAUGUACCAACCAGUCAUUCCUUGGACUGCAAGGGGGCAUGUCUACUGCUAUUCAGUCUCAGUGGGUAAACUGGAGAGUCCUCCCACAAUGAGCAGAUUCCGAGGGGGGUGUGUACAUGGAAGGAGUCACAUGGGUUGGGAAGGCAGCAGUGGCGUUCUGUCCGAGCCUGUUUGUGUUGCUAUAAAGGAAUACUCGAGGCUGGGUAACUUAUAAAGAAAAGAGGUUUAUUUGGCUCAAGGUUCUGCAGGCUGUACAAGAAGCAUGGUGCCAGCAUCUGCUUCUGGUAAUGCCCUCGGGGAGCUUCCACUCAUGGCAGAAGGGGAAGGGGAGCUGGCAUCAGACUGCAAGAGAGGAAGGAAGAGAGGAGUGUGGGAGGUGCCAGGCUAGUUUCAACAUCAGCUCUGGCAAAAACUAACAGAGCAAGAACUCCUUCCCGAGGGGACAAGAGGAUGGCACCAAGAGGCACAUGACCCCAAGACUCCCAAUAGGCUCCACCACCAACACCAGGAAUCAGAUUUCAAUAUGAGAUUUGGAGGGACCAGGUAUCCAAUCUAUCCAUCCACUCCAAGCCUCCAUUUGACACCCAGAAUGCAUUAUUUCAGCACCCAUAUCCAUUCAACGAAAGUUGUCGCGGGAAGUCAGGGACCCCAAACGGAGGGACCGGCUGAAGCCAUGGCAGAAGAACGUGGAUUGUGAAGAUUUUAUGGACAUUUAUUAGUUCCCCAAAUUAAUACUUUUGUAAUUUCUUACACCUGUCUUUACUGCAAUCUCUAAACAUAAAUUGUAAAGAUUU